AGUGAACGCUGGCGGUAGGCCUAACACAUGCAAGUCGAACGGCAGCACAGUAAGAGCUUGCUCUUACGGGUGGCGAGUGGCGGACGGGUGAGGAAUACAUCGGAAUCUACUUUUUCGUGGGGGAUAACGUAGGGAAACUUACGCUAAUACCGCAUACGACCUACGGGUGAAAGCAGGGGAUCUUCGGACCUUGCGCGAUUGAAUGAGCCGAUGUCGGAUUAGCUAGUUGGCGGGGUAAAGGCCCACCAAGGCGACGAUCCGUAGCUGGUCUGAGAGGAUGAUCAGCGACACUGGAACUGAGCCACGGUCCAGACUCCUACGGGAGGCAGCAGUGGGGAAUAUUGGACAAUGGGCGCAAGCCUGAUCCAGCCAUACCGCGUGGGUGAAGAAGGCCUUCGGGUUGUAAGGCCCUUUUGUUGGGAAAGAAAAGCAGCAGGUUAAUACCCCGCUGUUCUGACGGUACCCAAAGAAUAAGCACCGGCUAACUUCGUG
rnacentral:rRNA from 1 species